rnacentral:lncRNA from 1 species
UGGUACUGCACAGAACAGACAUUGUGACAUAUAUCUAGGCAAAUUGCCUAGAAGUGAAUCCCCUCUCCUGCUUAAGUCCUUCCCACAGAGAGCGGUUUGAUAUGUCACUGAAACCAGCAUCCAGGUGGUAUUGCUCCAUAUGCCUGAGACCCUAACAAAAGCCUAAUUACAACUCAUAUGCCUGGAGCCAGGACAUGUGCAGGAUGGUGAUGUAACUUUCCUCUCUGGAAUGGGUCCUGCACAAAGGAAUGAUAGUAACAUAUUGCAAAGCCAGACACACAGCCAUGAUGGUCCAAGUUAUAUUGGGAUUCAGCCAAUAGAAGAUAUUUUGCCUGUCAUCCCUAAGCUUAGGACAAUAGGGUCCUGCCCACAAGAAAGAUUGUGACAUCUCACUGGACAAGCACCCACCCAGACUCUGCCAAGAGAGGGGAUUAUUACAUAUUGCAGAGCCCAGCACCUAGGUGGAGUGACUCUCAUCUUUUUCUUCUACCCCGUAUAUAGCCAGCUUGGUGACCUACUAUUUGAGUCUAUACCCAGGCCCAGACCACAGAUGAAAUUGUGCAAUAUGUGGAACAAACACCUAAACAAUAUAUAACACCUUCCUUGGCUCUGUCUACAAAGGGCACUUUUAUAUAUCACUGGGACCAUCAACCAGGUGAUAUAACCCUCUUCUCUGGAAUGGGCCCCACACAAAGGAAGGAUAGUGACAUAUUGCAAGCCCAGGCACACAGGCCCAGAGCACAGUUGAAAUUGUGACAUAUGUACACCAAGCAACCAAGCAAUGUAUAACACCUCAUUUGGCAAUGGAAUCGAGGGCACUUUUACAUAUCACUGAGACCAGCGCCCAGCUGAUGUGAAAUAUUGGCCUGAACCCUGCCUACAAAAGCAUUGUGGCUUUUAUCUAGCUCCAUUACAUAAGUGAUGUGACUUCCUUCUACUGCCUUGGCCCUGCACUUAUGGUGAAUCGUGACACAAAAUUGGGUAGAGCAACCAGGUGAUGUGACCCUUUUUUUUUUGGCGGGGGGCCAGUCUGUCAAUAGGAAGCUUUAACAUAUCACUUGGCUCAGCA